CCCAGCUCCUCAUCUUUAUUUAUGAUGAAAUCGAAAAACUGAUCAUCCGACGCAGCCCAGGAGGUUGGGUGGAGAGGGAGACGUACUACUAGAAAGCAUCCCGUUUGCAUCGCUCAAGUUCUUGCAUGGUUGUCUUGCUGCUCGAAUUUUAAAUUCUGUAAAAUGUGGCUGUGUUUUUAUAUAGGGACUGCGUGAUACUAAAACACUGAGAUCGAGAUGAUGAACCAAGACAUUUUACAUUGUGUGCCUUGUUUCUGGAACAGGACCAAUUUUAUACAUGUUUUUAACAGUAAUAUAAAUAAACUUUCAGUCAGCUCCCA